GAUGAACGCUGGCGGCGUGCUUAACACAUGCAAGUCGAACGAAGCAUUUGCGACAGAUUUUUUCGGAAUGAAGUUGCUUAUGACUGAGUGGCGGACGGGUGAGUAACGCGUGGGUAACCUGCCUUGUACUGGGGGAUAGCAGCUGGAAACGGCUGGUAAUACCGCAUAAGCGCACAAUGUUGCAUGACAUGGUGUGAAAAACUCCGGUGGUAUAAGAUGGACCCGCGUCUGAUUAGCUAGUUGGUGAGAUAACAGCCCACCAAGGCGACGAUCAGUAGCCGACCUGAGAGGGUGACCGGCCACAUUGGGACUGAGACACGGCCCAGACUCCUACGGGAGGCAGCAGUGGGGAAUAUUGCACAAUGGAGGAAACUCUGAUGCAGCGACGCCGCGUGAGUGAAGAAGUAAUUCGUUAUGUAAAGCUCUAUCAGCAGGGAAGAUAGUGAGGGUACCUGACGAAGAAGCUCCGGCUAAAUACGUG
rnacentral:rRNA from 1 species